CUGACACCGGCCCCACCCCUCGCUCGCAUUCAUCGCUGACGUGUCUCUUGGCUGACGUGUCUCUCCACGUGGCGUGCCGUUUCAUCCCAUCCGCUCCCCUUGUGCUCGCACCACGCGAGCCCCGUGACGGCGCGGCGAGACCCUUCACAAGAGCUGCCGUCGCCGUGACGCCGCGCGCUCCGGAGCAGCGGGCCCCACGGGAUGUGCCAACGUGGCAGAAUCUGCGGGGACCUCUGGUGGCGUG
rnacentral:lncRNA from 1 species